rnacentral:rRNA from 1 species
CCUACGGGGGGCAGCAGUGAGGAAUAUUGGUCAAUGGACGAGAGUCUGAACCAGCCAAGUAGCGUGAAGGAUGACUGCCCUAUGGGUUGUAAACUUCUUUUAUAUGGGAAUAAAAUGUUCCACGUGUGGGAUUUUGUAUGUACCAUAUGAAUAAGGAUCGGCUAACUCCGUGCCAGCAGCCGCGGUAAUACGGAGGAUCCUAGCGUUAUCCGGAUUUAUUGGGUUUAAAGGGAGCGUAGGUGGAUUGUUAAGUCAGUUGUGAAAGUUUGCGGCUCAACCGUAAAAUUGCAGUUGAAACUGGCAGUCUUGAGUACAGUAGAGGUGGGCGGAAUUCGUGGUGUAGCGGUGAAAUGCUUAGAUAUCACGAAGAACUCCGAUUGCGAAGGCAGUUCACUGGACUGCAACUGACACUGAGGCUCGAAAGUGUGGGUAUCAAACAGGAUUAGAUACCCGAGUAGUC